UUGGGACAGAAGUAGGUGGAGGGGUGUAAAACCCUCAACCCCUAAACAAAGCAAUAGAAUCUCCAGACUGCAGGCCUUGACUCAUGAAGCUGAGACACUCAGGGUGACCUUGUUGUCACUUAGCAGGACACUCACAGUUGGCAGGACCUGGGCCAAGAGAGCAUUGCGUGUCUUCCUUAUCUCUGGAAAUCUAAGCUGCCCAGAUGAUCGUCUUCCUAGAAGGAAUUUGUAGUUCUGUAUCUUUAAGAGCAUCCCUCUUGUUUCUCAGUCUGCAAAACAGGAGGAAGCUUAAUACAAUGCUCUAUACUGCAGCACCAUCCUGUGCAUGAGGAUGCGGGUUGAAAAAGAAGGAAGAAUGAGAGGACCAGUCAUCACAAGCUCCUGUGUCCAUGUCUUCCCAGCCAUGAUGGAGAUACCCUCGGAUGGUGAACCAAAAUAAAUCCCUUCUUUCCUGACUUCCUCCUGUCAGGGUGUUUCAUCACAGCAUCAUGACAAUAAAUCCCAAGCCACUCUCAAUAAAUCACUCUCAUGCCACAUCUUCUAAUGGAAGAGUCUACCCUACUUAAGAAUAACCUCUUUUGUUAUUUCAGUUUCCAAUGUCAUUUUUCUUCCUUUGCUUUCCUGCUCCAAAU
rnacentral:lncRNA from 1 species